rnacentral:misc_RNA from 1 species
GAUGAAGAACGUAGCGAAAUGCGAUAAGUAGUGUGAAUUGCAGAAUUCAGUGAAUCAUCGAAUCUUUGAACGCACAUUGCGCCCUUUGGUAUUCCUUAGGGCAUGCCUGUUCGAGCGUCAUUUAAACCUUCAAGCUCAGCUUGGUGUUGGGUGACUGUCCGCUUCACCGCGGACUCGCCUCAAAAUUAUUGGCGGCCGGUACAUUGGCUUCGAGCGCAGCAGAAACGCGAACUCGGGCCCGUCGUAUUGGCUCCCAGAAGCUAUCUUCACAAUUUUGACCUCGGAUCAGGUAGGGAUACCCGCUGAACUUAAGCAUAUAAUAAGCGGAGGA